AUUGAACGCUGGCGGCAUGCUUUACACAUGCAAGUCGAACGGCAGCGCGGGCUUCGGCCUGGCGGCGAGUGGCGAACGGGUGAGUAAUACAUCGGAACGUGCCCAGUAGUGGGGGAUAGCUCGGCGAAAGCCGGAUUAAUACCGCAUACGACCUGAGGGUGAAAGCGGGGGAUCUUCGGACCUCGCGCUAUUGGAGGGGCCGAUGGCAGAUUAGCUAGUUGGUGGGGUAAAGGCCUACCAAGGCGACGAUCUGUAGCUGGUCUGAGAGGACGACCAGCCACACUGGGACUGAGACACGGCCCAGACUCCUACGGGAGGCAGCAGUGGGGAAUUUUGGACAAUGGGCGAAAGCCUGAUCCAGCAAUGCCGCGUGUGUGAUGAAGGCCUUCGGGUUGUAAAGCACUUUUGGCGGGAACGAAAAGGACUGUGCCAAUACCACGGUUCGAUGACGGUACCCACAGAAUAAGCACCGGCUAACUACGUG
rnacentral:rRNA from 1 species